rnacentral:rRNA from 1 species
UAGGGAAUAUUGGGCAAUGGAGGGAACUCUGACCCAGCCAUGCCGCGUGCAGGAUGAAGGCGUUAUGCGUUGUAAACUGCUUUUAUAUAGGAAGAAAUAGUCCUUGCGAGGAAAGUUGACGGUACUAUAUGAAUAAGCACCGGCUAACUCCGUGCCAGCAGCCGCGGUAAUACGGAGGGUGCAAGCGUUGUCCGGAUUUAUUGGGUUUAAAGGGUGCGUAGGCGGUUUAUUAAGUCAGUGGUGAAAGACGGUCGCUCAACGAUUGCAGUGCCAUUGAUACUGGUAGACUUGAGUAUGAUUGAGGUAGCUGGAAUGGAUAGUGUAGCGGUGAAAUGCAUAGAUAUUAUCCAGAACACCAAUUGCGUAGGCAA